rnacentral:rRNA from 1 species
AGUGAACGCUGGCGGCAUGCCUUACACAUGCAAGUCGAACGGCAACACGUUAAGAGCUUGUGCUGACUGGUGGACGGGGGAGUACGACAGCGGAAUGCACCCGAAUGUACUUUUUCGUGGGGGAUAACGUUGGCUAAUUUACGCUAAUACCUCAUGCUACCUACGGGGGACAGCAAGGGAUUUUCGGGCCUGGCCCGCCGGUGUGAGCCGAUGUCGGAUUAGGUAGUUGGUGGGAUAAAGGCUUACCAAGGCGACGAUCCGUAGCUGGUCUGAGAGGACGACCAGCCACACUGGAACUGAGACACGGUCCAGACUCCUACGGGAGGCAGCAGUGGGGAAUAUUGGACAAUGGGCGAAAGCCUGAUCCAGCCAUGCCGCGUGGAUGAUGAAGGCCUUCGGGUUGUAAACUGCUUUUGUAGGGAAAGAAAAGACGCAGGCUAAUAACGAGCUUUCCUGACGGUACCGAAAGAAUAAGCACCGGCUAACUACGUG